rnacentral:rRNA from 1 species
CCCUUAGAGUUUGAUCCUGGCUCAGGAUGAACGCUGACAGAAUGCUUAACACAUGCAAGUCUACUUGAUCCUUCGGGUGAAGGUGGCGGACGGGUGAGUAACGCGUAAAGAACUUGCCUUACAGACUGGGACAACAUUUGGAAACGAAUGCUAAUACCGGAUAUUAUGAUUGGGUCGCAUGAUCUGGUUAUGAAAGCUAUAUGCGCCGUGAGAGAGCUUUGCGUCCCAUUAGUUAGUUGGUGAGGUAACGGCUCACCAAGACGAUGAUGGGUAGCCGGCCUGAGAGGGUGAACGGCCACAAGGGGACUGAGACACGGCCCUUACUCCUACGGGAGGCAGCAGUGGGGAAUAUUGGACAAUGGACCAAAAGUCUGAUCCAGCAAUUCUGUGUGC